GCGGGUAUAGUCGAAUGGUACAACUAUAGUUUCCCAAGCUAUCGGUGAGAGUUCGAUUCCCUCUACCCGCU
rnacentral:tRNA from 1 species